rnacentral:rRNA from 1 species
AUUAAUUCCCCAUAGUACAAUAUAAUAUCGCAUGAAAUAAUUGUUAAAGAUUUAUCGGUUAAAGAUGGGCAUGCGUCUGAUUAGCUUGUUGGUAAGGUAACGGCUUACCAAGGCAACGAUCAGUAGGGGGUCUGAGAGGAUGAUCCCCCACACUGGUACUGAGACACGGACCAGACGUGUACGGACGGCAGCAGUAAGGAAUAUUGGGCAAUGGGCGCAAGCCUGACCCAGCCAUGCCGCGUGCAGGAUGACGACCCUAUGG